rnacentral:rRNA from 1 species
AGUAGUUUCGAUCCGUGCUCAGAGACGCUGGCGGCGUGCUUAACACAUGCAAGUCGAACGGAAAGGCCCCUGCUUGCAGGGGUACUCGAGUGGCGAACGGGUGAGUAACACGUGGGUGAUCUGCCCUUCACUUCGGGAUAAGCCUGGGAAACUGGGUCUAAUACCGGAUAGGACCAAUCUUUAGUGUGGUUGGUGGAAAGUUUUUUUCGGUGGAGGAUGAGCCCGCGGCCUAUCAGCUUGUUGGUGGGGUAAUGGCCUACCAAGGCGACGACGGGUAGCCGGCCUGAGAGGGUGGACGGCCACAUUGGGACUGAGACACGGCCCAGACUCCUACGGGAGGCAGCAGUGGGGAAUAUUGCACAAUGGGCGGAAGCCUGAUGCAGCGACGCCGCGUGAGGGAUGACGGCCUUCGGGUUGUAAACCUCUUUCGCUAGGGAAGAAGCCUUCGAGUGACGGUACCUGGAUAAGAAGCACCGGCUAACUACGUG